rnacentral:rRNA from 1 species
UAAUACGUAGGUCACAAACGUUGUCCGGAUUUAUUGGGCGUAAAGGGUCCGUAGGGGGUUCGGUAAGUCUCCUGUGAAAUCUUCAGGCUCAACUUGAAGAGGUCGGGGGAUACUGCCGGACUUGAGACUGUUAGAGGCAAGUGGAAUUCCCGGUGUAGUGGUGAAAUGCGUAGAUAUCGGGAGGAACACCAGUGGCGAAAGCGGCUUGCUGGGACAGUUCUGACGCUGAGGGACGAAAGCGUGGGUAGCAAACCGGAUUAGAUACCCGGGUAGUCCACGCCGUAAACGAUGAAUGCUAGGUUUUCGGGGUAUCGACCCCCUGAGAGCCGUAGCUAACGCGAUAAGCAUUCCGCCUGGGGACUACGGUCGCAAGACUA